rnacentral:tRNA from 10 species
GCGCCCAUAGCUCAAUUGGAUAGAGCACAACCUUGCGGAGGUUGCGGUUGGGGGUUCGAGUCCCUUUGGGCGCGCCC